rnacentral:lncRNA from 1 species
AAGUUCUUACCAAGCGAAACAGGAGGUGGGAGAACAAACAAGUCAGAAAACCUAGAAAAUGGUGUAUCAACGCUGCAGCAACAACACUUGUCAAGUUGUAGUCUGAUAUGUGGAGUUAUAGGAUGGCUCUAUAUAUUGCACAAGAAAGUACUAGCACCACAUUAGUCACAAAAGCAUGUUGAGAAAUCAUUCAACGGUGGCACUGUGCUGGUCCUAGGCUAGACCAUGCUAGAGACGCGUGCCUGUACAGAGAUGAAGUCACAAUAUCGCAAGAAUAAUAAGAACAACAAGAGAUAACUUCCCUUCUUUUCCUCUUCCUUUCUUUUCUUUCCUUUUUUUUCCUUUUUCUUUUCUUUUUUUCUGAUAUUUUUUUGUUUCUUUCUGUUUUUUUCCUACUUUGCUCAACUAAAAUAAAUCUGAAUCUUGAUGGAUUAGAUUUCAGAAAACACACAAUGUCUUUAGUGUAACAAAAAUACAACUAGCAGAUUAUGAUGGUGAUAUGAUGCUGCAGUAACACUGAUUGCAACGGGGAUGAGAAAAAUAGAAUGUGAAAGAAGAGUGGAGGAGAGGGAAAAGGAUGCGCAUGAAGUGGACAAGGAUGCAAUGUUCUAAAAUUAGAUGCCCAAGAGUGGAAUAAAUCUAGUGGUUGCAAUAGGAUGCUGAUUAAAAAUAGGAUGCUGAUUAUAGAAUGUGCAAGAGCGCUUACAAUAGGAUGUAUGAAUGGAAGAAAGGAACAUGCAGGUGGCAGUGAGUAAGAAUAGGUUGCUCACGGGUGGAAGUGAAAACGUGCAUGCAAUGGCCUAAAAAUAUAGGGUGCGUAUGAGUGAAAAGAGAGUGGUGGAUGGAGUUUACACGGUGCCCAAGUAGGGUGGUGAUGGUAGUUCAGAUAUAUAGUGUAGUCCUAAUGUAUAUGGUAAUAGUGAUUGCAGCGGAGAUUAUACGAUGGGCAAUGACUAAAACGUGACAAAAACUCAAAACUCUAAAAGUCUAAACCUAAGACCAGCAACUCGACUCAACCGAUGUAAAUCAAACACAACAAGCCUGAACUAAGUAGUACUAGUAAAAGGCUCAAAGGGUCUAUAGGAUGAUAAAAAUGAAAGUACUUUCUUGGCUUUUUCUAGGCAAUAGGAAAAAAAUUGCAAACUAAAUUCUCUCACCGAUGAAACCUUGAGCUGAUACCACUUGAUAAGAGUGUGGGUGUCCCGAUCUUUCGGUGGAGAUGGAUAACUUCGAUCUCUCUGGAGCGACGUUCACGAUCCGACUACAACCGUCCAAGGACGCUGCGCCUUAGCGAUCGAUACACCAAUUCUAGCGGUUGAUCUCGAUCUUGUUGAUCACAACCAACCAAACCACUAGAGUAAUUCCUGCACGCAAUCGAAGAACAUGCAAGAACAGAUAGAACAGGCACUCAAUUGCCAAAUAAUACAAGAAGGAUCUGAUAUGAAUCACGAUAUUAAUAUGGGGUUUUCAAUCAAGUAGAACGGAUGGUCCAGUCGACACAUGCGUCUACAAGGAAGUAGCAAUGGCUAAACUUACAACAAAACACAACCCGAUUUGUGUCUCUGGCUGUAGAAGCCUUUAUGUACAAGAGAGAGCAACCAGAGUGUGCGGUGC